rnacentral:rRNA from 1 species
AACGAACGCUGGCGGCAUGCCUAACACAUGCAAGUCGAACGAAGUCUUCGGACUUAGUGGCGCACGGGUGCGUAACGCGUGGGAAUCUGCCCUUGGGUACGGAAUAACUCAGAGAAAUUUGUGCUAAUACCGUAUAAUGUCGUAAGACCAAAGAUUUAUCGCCCAAGGAUGAGCCCGCGUAAGAUUAGCUAGUUGGUAGGGUAAAAGCCUACCAAGGCGACGAUCUUUAGCUGGUCUGAGAGGAUGAUCAGCCACACUGGGACUGAGACACGGCCCAGACUCCUACGGGAGGCAGCAGUGGGGAAUAUUGGACAAUGGGCGAAAGCCUGAUCCAGCAAUGCCGCGUGAGUGAUGAAGGCCCUAGGGUUGUAAAGCUCUUUAAGCGAGGAGGAAGGUCAUCAUACUAAUAUUAUGAUGAAUUGACGUUACUCGCAGAAUAAGCACCGGCUAACUCUGUGCCAGCAGCCGCGGUAAGUCGU